GUCUUCUAAGCCCUCUGAGGAUUCUUGCCACUUGUUCCUUGCAGCUGUGACUCCCCAGGGUAAGAGGCAAAGAGCCACCAGGUCCCAGCUGAGGAUGCCCUGUGGUCAGCUCAGACAGGGAUGCGGACUGAAACUGAAGCAGAUGUUAGUAACUGUCGUACCUACAGACAAGGAAACUGAGCCUCCUCCAUGAAGUGAAGUGACUCACCCACAGUCGCACAGCUAAUAUAUGGCAGAGCCCACAGCAGAACCCAGAUGUACUGAGGCCAAGUUCAAUGCCAGCAUAAAACAGGUUUUGUUUUAAUGCA